rnacentral:sRNA from 1 species
CCUCAGCAGGGGCAUCACCGCCCACGUC